AACGAACGUUGGCGGCGUGGAUUAGGCAUGCAAGUCGCGGGAAUCCCAGCAAUGGGGGAACCGGCGUAAGGGGCAGUAAGGCAUGGGUAACCUACCCCGGGGUUCGGGAUAGCCCUCAGAGAGGAGGGGUAAUACCGGAUGACGUCGUGAGACCAAAGGUCCGCCGCCCUGGGAGGGGCCCAUGUGAUAUUAGCUUGUUGGCGGGGUAACGGCCCACCAAGGCUGAGAUGUCUAGCGGGUGUGAGAGCACGACCCGCGCCACUCGCACUGAGACACUGGCGAGACACCUACGGGUGGCUGCAGUCGAGGAUCUUCGGCAAUGGGCGCAAGCCUGACCGAGCGACGCCGCGUGUGCGAUGAAGGCCUUCGGGUUGUAAAGCACUGUCGAGGGGGAGAAAAGCCGAAAGGUUUGAUCUAUCCCUGGAGGAAGCACGGGCUAAGUUCGUGCCAGCAGCCGCGGUAACAC
rnacentral:rRNA from 1 species